UACGGAGGAUGCGAGCAUUAUCCGGAUUUAUUGGGUUUAAAGGGUGCGUAGGCGGGAUGCCAAGUCAGCGGUAAAAAUGCGGUGCUCAACGCCGUCGAGCCGUUGAAACUGGCGUUCUUGAGUGGGCGAGAAGUAUGCGGAAUGCGUGGUGUAGCGGUGAAAUGCAUAGAUAUCAUGCAGAACUCCGAUUGCGAAGGCAGCAUACCGGCGCCCUACUGACGCUGAGGCACGAAAGCGUGGGUAUCGAACAGG
rnacentral:rRNA from 1 species